CAAAAAAAAAAAACUCGCGCGUUCCUACGGACUCGCUCUACCGCCACGCCCCACGCGCGCCCGCCCAUCCACAGGCUCGGAUCAGCACAGCGUCACCGGCCGUCAGGAGGCCGACAUGCUUGGGCCCGCCACGGCGGCAGAGCGGAGGCCUGCACCCACGGGGGCAUAGGUUAUGUUAUCCGCUCGCGGCGGCCGGCCCCACGGCAGCGUCGGUCGCUCGCCGCCCCCCUCCUCCUCGUCCUCGUCGUCGUCACCGCGCCGCCGCAUGGUGGACUCCGCCGGGGGCGCGUGCUGCCGUGUGCUGGAGUGGGAGGCCGGCCUGCCUGCUCCAGGCGAGAUGACGCCGGUCUCGCACAGGCUCGUCCCGCCGGCGCUCGCCGCCGCCUUCGGGAUCGACCUCGCGGGCGUGCUCCUCCCCUCUCCCCCCGUUGAUUCGCCUACCUCCCAUCUCUUCUUCCGCGUCGACGAGGAAGAUGACGAGGAGGAGGAGGAGGAGGGGGAGGGCGAGGGGGGUAACGAUGACGCCGCCGCGGCUGCCGGCGGCGGGAGGCGCGGGAAGAAAGCGAGGAUGGUGUGGACGCCCGAGCUGCACCACCGGUUCGUCGAGGCGGUGGCGCACCUCGGCGAGAAGGGCGCCGUGCCCAAGGCCAUCGUGCGCCUCAUGAACGUCGACGGCCUCACCCGCGAGAACGUCGCCAGCCACCUCCAGAAGUACCGCCUCUACAUCAAGCGCACGCGCGUCGCCGCCACGCCGCCGCCGCCUCCUCCGCUGCCGCCGGCGACGUGCGUUCCCUGGUUCGCCGCAAAACCGCCUCUCGACACCGCUACCCCUCCCGCGAGAACCUCGGACGCAACAGCUAAUCAGAAAUCCUGUCAGGGUACCCACUUGAUGAUAGAUGGUUGCGCUCUCUGCAACCUGCUUCCUUGAAGCAGAGGGCUUGGAUUUAUGGUUAGGAGUGCUUGGUACCCUACCUUACCACUCACCUUGAUGUCGAAAUGGACUGCCCAUUUGAACGAGUGUUCGACGCAUUCUACAACGACCAAUCCUUGUGAAACGAUGAGGUUGUAAACUGGUUAGCUCGAUUGCUCGACAGCUCGAGGCUACAGAAGGAAAUGAACCAAGAGUGAAUUCAGGAGCUCUCUCUAAGAAUUAGGGGACAUAACAAACAUUUUUGGUUUGGGCAGCUGAAAGCAGCCGUCCUGGAUUGCAUUAAGAUUUUGAAAGGGGUUUUACAAGGGCUUUACAUCGACAAGAGUGUUGUCGAAAAAAGAAAAGACUCGCCGGUUCACAAGUCGAACUGUGCGAGAUGAAGGAAACCACAUGCUGAUUACUCGCGACAUGAAUUGAACAACCCGACUACCUUCUAGAUCGCCACUUCUUCCUUGAUCAUUUGGAAUAGCUACGGUGCCGUUGCUGUUUUUUGAUUGAAGAUUCUUCCGUUUCCUUCCUUACACACCAUCCAGCACAUCAGCUGAACUAGAUAGUCAAAGUUUUUCCUGUACCUCGCCCGACAAAGGGCUCUUGCCUCGACCCACCACUCCCCAAGUUG